rnacentral:tRNA from 2 species
GCGCCUGUAGCUCAGAUGGAUAGAGCAACGGACUUCUAAUCCGUAGGUCGCAGGUUCGAAUCCUGCCAGGCGCGCCA